UUCAAGGACAUUUAACUCGUGAUGUAAAUAAACCAAUCCAUUUCGUUUUAUUAUUGCUUUCAGAUCCGUUUACACUUAUUUCAACGACUGCUUAUCAUAGUGCUUUUAUCUAAAAUCAAAUCGUACUUCCUAGCAAAUAAUAAAGAUAAUUUGUAAAAGAAACGCAUUAUAGGUUGAACAGUGAGCUUUACAGGGCCCCAAAAAUGACAAGUGUAAAACCAUUCAAACAGGAAAACCAAUGGUCUAAUCUACAUAAAAAUAGCGAGAAAAAGUUAUGAAACACAUCAACAAAUCUCAAGUACUACUGAACAUCAGGUUCUUGACUUAGGACAGGUG
rnacentral:lncRNA from 1 species